rnacentral:rRNA from 1 species
GUGCCAGCAGCCGCGGUAAUACGUAGGUGGCAAGCGUUAUCCGGAAUUAUUGGGCGUAAAGCGCGCGUAGGCGGUUUUUUAAGUCUGAUGUGAAAGCCCACGGCUCAACCGUGGAGGGUCAUUGGAAACUGGAAAACUUGAGUGCAGAAGAGGAAAGUGGAAUUCCAUGUGUAGCGGUGAAAUGCGCAGAGAUAUGGAGGAACACCAGUGGCGCAGGCGACUUUCUGGUCUGUAACUGACGCUGAUGUGCGAAAGCGUGGGGAUC